rnacentral:rRNA from 1 species
UACGAAGGGGGCUAGCGUUAAUCGGAAUUACUGGGCGUAAAGCGUGCGCAGGCGGUUUUGUAAGCCAGAUGUGAAAUCCCCGGGCUUAACCUGGGAACUGCGUUUGAAACUACAAGGCUAGAGUGUGGCAGAGGGGGGUGGAAUUCCACGUGUAGCAGUGAAAUGCGUAGAGAUGUGGAGGAACACCGAUGGCGAAGGCAGCCCCCUGGGUUAACACUGACGCUCAGGCACGAAAGCGUGGGGAGCAAACAGG